GUUCGUAAGGAACAUCAUAUCAAGAAAUUUAGCGGGUGCUUAAUUUCUUAGUAUUGUGUGCUCAGGCCUUUAGAAUACUAAAAUAAUUUAGUCGUAUCUAUCUCAAAGAUCAAAAGGUAUUCUAAAAUCCAUUUUUAACUUAUGUUUUUUGUCUUUUAAACUAAGGAUGAUGACUACCUACUUGUGUUCUUUAGGUGGUCCAGAAAUAUUCGGUCUUCACGGACCCGAAUCUGAGGGGUUUUAACUUCCGCCCACCUCACUCCAAUGACAAAUUCGAUUGUCCACCUCUGGACGUUCUACCGCCAGAUUUCUGCCCUCCUCUCAAAGACUUUGAGGAAUUUGAUCCACGGGACGCCGAUUCCCUAUGAGAGAUCGCCCAGGCUUCGACCCACAGAGGCAUCCACCUGGUAGAGGUCCAUUUGAAGGCCCAAUUGAUGAUUUUGGUCAAGCAGGCAUGUUUGAGCCCCGAACUCGGCCCGACUUCUUCCCGCCGCAUGGUAUGAGAGGUCCACGACCUCGUGGCAUGCCACCCUUGUUAAGUGGUCCUCCAGGUUUAAUGGGUCUAAUGUUUCCUCCCCGGGCCCCAUGGGUAUGCGAGGAGCUCCAAGACCUGGUAUCUGGCUUGAUCCGAUUGGAGGUCUGAAUGGUCCGCCACCGAGAGGUCCAAACCCUGAAGAUUUGUUCCGAGGACCAGGCUUUGAAGACUCUCCGUUUGUUAGUCACGCCCGAGGGAACCAGUGGCGACCUCGUGAUGACGAUCGUCGGAGAGGCCGUGAUGAAGAACGUUUGGUGACGGCCGCAGAGAGAAUAAAGACACAGGUAGGCAAAGAAGAACAGAGGAGGAAAACACCCUCAACCAACUUCGAGGGAGAACAAGCGAACCGGUGAGUGAACCCUCCGCGAAUGAGGAUCUGCCCAAAGUUGAACGGCAGUUAGAGACGGUUAUGUCAGCAAGUGAGCAACAGCCAGUGAGUGAGUUGGAACAAAUGAGUGAGUCUCAGUUAGUAUAUGAGGCACAGCCCCCAAGUGAAUCACAGUCAGUCAGUGAGUCACAGCAAACAAGUGAGUCUGCAAUCUCUGCAGAAUGUCAAGAGUUGGCUGGGGAGUCUACCUUGGUAAAUGAGCCAAUCCAAUCAAAUGAACCAAUUCAGUUGACAGAGCCAAAUCAAUCACAAAUCAGUCAACCAAACAAGAACUGCUAUUUUUGAACCGCCCGUAGUAUAGCAAAUAUAUCUGCAGAACUUAGUGAAACACCUGUAUGAUUACUACAAUGUCAAUCUAAGGGAAGCAAAUACUAGUGCACCUGAAGUAGCUAGUGAGAUUAGUAGUAAUGUUGAAAAUAAUAAUCAAGAGAGAUUGAGUCUUUCAACAGCUUAAAAAUUAAUCAAGCUAAUAAGAAGAAAUGAAUAAACCAUGUAUGACAAGUGAAAUACCUACAGAAUUUGAGCUUGACUCGAUGCCUGUUAAAGAAAUGUCUGUAAAGAACGUUAUUGAAAAGGAUAGCAGUGAAUAUACAAACCUUCCUCCAGCAACAGGACCAGUGACACAAGUGUCAGAAAACAGUGUGAAGGAACUGAAUGAAAAUUC
rnacentral:lncRNA from 1 species